CAUACCGAAUAUAAAAAAAACACUCAAUAACUUAUUACAAUUCUCUAAUAAAAAAUGUGGAUGAUCAACAAGUUUUUCUUCCUUCUUCCAGUUGCAUGCAUGGCCGUGUUGGGUACAGCUCAAACGUUGCCUUCGCAGCCUAUACCUGGACAGGACCCAAUAGAUUGUAUGUCAUCCCUGUAUGCUAUUCCGAACUGUCUCCAAGAAAUUGCCCAACCGUUUGUGAACGGAGAAUUCGGGACUAUCGGUCACUCUUGUUGUCAUGCCUUUUUGGGUCUCAGUGCAGAUUGUAUUACUGAGAGGUUUGCCUUAUUUCCCGAAUUUCCUCCGACUCUAAGGGAUCAUUGUUCCAGCCAAUGAUGAUAAUACCAAUUAAUGCCAUUUUCCUUUCGAGUCUUUGUUUCAAGGGGGUUUAUUAUUAUCCUACAUGUUCUAGGUCAUAAAAAUGUGCUAUCAAACAAUGUUAUGUUUCUGCUUUAAUAACAAGUUUUAACUUCAAUAUUUCAUGCUGAUGUAAACAUCUUGCGGAUAACUAAAUAAUAAUAAGGAUAAUUUCAUAUCUAUGUACUUUGGUUCAAAACCUCGUGAUAAUAAGAGCAAGUUUGGUGCCUCACAAAGCAUAUGUGUUCUCCUUUGGCUUUGAUUGGUCACGUUAAUACCACGCUUUGUGUUACUAUCUUGUACACGAAAUAUCUUUCGUGUGUGCAAGAGUAAAUAAUAGACUUAUAAGUAUAUUAUCUUGGUCUUUUGCAUUGAGUUGGUCUGAUUCAAAAGGUGGGGGUACAACAUUUACAGAUGAAGGUGAAAAGGCCUCUCUAUACCCUAAAGAAGGCUCUCGAAAAUGUUCCUCCUCCUAGAGACUUCAAAAUACUAAUGGUCAUCUGAACGUAGCUCCCUUUUUUUGGGUCAAAAUGUGAAUUCAUUUCAUAGAAAUGGCACUGAGAUACAAUAAACUUGAAUUCUUAAAUAGCCCUUUAAUUUGCUUAGCAUAGCUCCCUUUUGAUUUUCUUUUUCUGUUGGUAGGUUCUAGACUUCUAGUCGGUUAAUCUCUUAUUAAACAAACGAUCAGGGGAAAGGAAUCAGAUCUCGUUUUGGAAAAGAUGUCUCAGGAUGAGUUUUAUGUAGAACCAUUGUGUACAGAAAAGCUUCAUUGUCUCCCUUUCUUUUUUUAAAUGCCGCUCAAGCCAACAGAGACUAGUGUCCUUUAUGUCCAGCUAUUUUUUUGCCUUUCAUACUUAUACAUUGCAGAAAUGUAUAUUGUUCUGACGUUUUGAUCAAUUUUCCAACAGUGCAUCCUGGACAAAUCAUUGACUACGAUAAAUUGGUUCAUAAUUUAGAACUGAGUCCAUAAACCGAGUUCAAAUAACUAAGUAGACUUAAUAACAUCAAAGAUCACUCGUUUGGAGAGAGACCAACGAAUAUCAACCUUGAAGUUUUAUUACUGACUCUUGGAAGUUAGAAGAGAGAUACAUAUACGUCUAUUUACUUAAACAAUAAAAACACACAUGGAGUAGAUCAUUAGUGUCAGUUUUUUUUCCACAUUCUAUGUUUUUGAUCGACUAACACUACUCAGAAUUUUACCUUGAUUCAUAAUGCAUCAAACAAGUUCAAGAACUAGUGUAUCAGUAAAAAAAAGUUCAAGAACUAGCGUAGAUCGAUCAAACAGUUUAAGCAAAAUUAAUAUUAUUGCAGAUCAAUUGCUGUUAUUCUAGAACAAAUAGUACAAUACCAUCGUUUCAUAAUAUAUGAUAUUUUAGAAGGUUUUUGGUGAAAAUAUAAGAUAUUGAGAUGUUUUAAGAUUUAUUUGUUAACUUUACUAGAAACUGUUUUACCAAUUAAAAUUUUUCAAUUUUUUAUGAUUAGUUGAAUUACUUUUAAUUUAUAUUUUUAGUAAGGUAUUGUAGAGAGUGUUUCAAAAAAAAAAGGUAAGGUAUUGUAGAGAAAAGUAAUUUCCUAAUGUUCGUGUGUUUAAGCAUAACAUUCUACAUUACGAAACUUAGGGAGUAUUAAUUUCUAUCACACUAAUAAACCAUACAGAAUAAUAUUUGGAUAGUAAUCGCAAGAACAUAAAACCCCGUUAUAGCCUAACGAAUCGUACGUAGAAGAAUAAGAGACCGAAUAGUAAACUAUCAGGAGGAACCACCAAUAAUACGAAACAAACUGUAUUAACCUUUAUUUGGGGUCAUUCCAAGAGUGCCUACGUUAAUUGACAAAGAAACCGUUCACACAAAUGCAAUGUAAUAAAAUUUCACAUUUGAUUCUUGUCCUAUAUAAUAUCCAAUCACUGACUACUAUUAAAUCCAUACCAAAGUUUUUUUUUUAAAUAACUUAUUACGAUUCUCUAAUAAAAAAUGUGGAUGAUCAGCAAGUUUUUCUUCCUUCUUCCAGUUGCAUGCAUGGCCGUGUUGGGUACAGCUCAAACGUUGCCUUCGCAGCCUAUACCUGGACACGACCCAACAGAUUGUAUGUCAUCCCUGUAUGCUAUUCCGAACUGUCUCCAAGAAAUUGUCCAUUCGUUUGUAAACGGAGAAUUCGGGACUAUUGGUCACUCUUGUUGUCAUGCCUUUUUGGGUCUCAGUGCAGAUUGUAUU
rnacentral:lncRNA from 1 species